rnacentral:rRNA from 1 species
GACCCUACGGGAGGCAGCAGUGGGGAAUAUUGCACAAUGGGGGGAACCCUGAUGCAGCGACGCCGCGUGAGCGAAGAAGUAUUUCGGUAUGUAAAGCUCUAUCAGCAGGGAAGAAAAUGACGGUACCUGACUAAGAAGCCCCGGCUAACUACGUGCCAGCAGCCGCGGUAAUACGUAGGGGGCAAGCGUUAUCCGGAUUUACUGGGUGUAACGGGAUCGCAGGCGGCGCGGUAAGUCUGAUGUGAAAGCCCGGGGCUCAACCCCGGGACUGCGUUGGAAACUGUCGUGCUG